rnacentral:rRNA from 1 species
AUGAACGCUGGCGGCGUGCCUAAUACAUGCAAGUCGAGCGAACAGACGAGGAGCUUGCUCCUCUGACGUUAGCGGCGGACGGGUGAGUAACACGUGGAUAACCUACCUAUAAGACUGGGAUAACUUCGGGAAACCGGAGCUAAUACCGGAUAAUAUAUUGAACCGCAUGGUUCAAUAGUGAAAGACGGUUUUGCUGUCACUUAUAGAUGGAUCCGCGCCGCAUUAGCUAGUUGGUAAGGUAGCGGCUUACCAAGGCGACGAUGCGUAGCCGACCUGAGAGGGUGAUCGGCCACACUGGAACUGAGACACGGUCCAGACUCCUACGGGAGGCAGCAGUAGGGAAUCUUCCGCAAUGGGCGAAAGCCUGACGGAGCAACGCCGCGUGAGUGAUGAAGGUCUUCGGAUCGUAAAACUCUGUUAUUAGGGAAGAACAAAUGUGUAAGUAACUAUGCACGUCUUGACGGUACCUAAUCAGAAAGCCACGGCUAACUACGUG